GACGAACGCUGGCGGCGUGCUUAACACAUGCAAGUCGAACGGAAAGGCCCUGCUUUUGUGGGGUGCUCGAGUGGCGAACGGGUGAGUAACACGUGAGUAACCUGCCCUUGACUUUGGGAUAACUUCAGGAAACUGGGGCUAAUACCGGAUAGGAGCUCCUGCUGCAUGGUGGGGGUUGGAAAGUUUCGGCGGUUGGGGAUGGACUCGCGGCUUAUCAGCUUGUUGGUGGGGUAGUGGCUUACCAAGGCUUGGACGGGUAGCCGGCCUGAGAGGGUGACCGGCCACAUUGGGACUGAGAUACGGCCCAGACUCCUACGGGAGGCAGCAGUGGGGAAUAUUGCACAAUGGGCGGAAGCCGGAUGCAGCAACGCCGCGUGCGGGAUGACGGCCUUCGGGUUGUAAACCGCUUUCGCCUGUGACGAAGCGUGAGUGACGGUAAUGGGUAAAGAAGCACCGGCUAACUACGU
rnacentral:rRNA from 1 species